AACGCGAAGAACCUUACCAACUCUUGACAUCCCAGUGACCGUUCUAGAGAUAGAACUUUCCCUUCGGGGACAAUGGUGACAGGUGGUGCAUGGUUGUCGUCAGCUCGUGUCGUGAGAUGUUGGGUUAAGUCCCGCAACGAGCGCAACCCUUGUCCUUAGUUGCCAGCACGUAAAGGUGGGGACUUUAAGGAGACUGCCGGUGAUAAACCGGAGGAAGGUGGGGAUGACGUCAAAUCAUCAUGCCCCUUAUGAGUUGGGCUACGCACGUACUACAAUGGCUGGUACAAAGAGAAGCGAACCUGCGAGGGUAAGCGGACCUCAUAAAGCCAGUCUAAGUUCGGAUCGCAGUCUGCAACUCGACCGCGUGAAGUCGGAUUCGCUAGUAAUCGCAGAUCAGAAUGCUGCGGUGAAUACGUUCCCGGGUCUUGUACACACCG
rnacentral:rRNA from 1 species